GAAGCUGGUGUAUUUUCACUUUGUCCCAGUGUUCUUAAAUUCUAUGAGAUGACCCAUCCAUUCUCCUGCCUGGAGCAUCAAAUCUCCUGUCUGGUUGCUGACAUUCUGGAGCUGAUGGUGGGGAGAAGAUUAGUGGUCUCAACAUUCAAUUCUGGAGCAAGUUUCCCCAAUUUGUCAUGGAGUGCUAACUAAUUAAGGAGUUGUCACUUUCCUGGCCUUCUCUCAGUGCUGUGCACACUACAGGAUAUAAAUGUGGAUGUGAGGCUGGAGCAAAGUCUUGAAUGAACUGAUGUCUUUUAUUGCCAAGGAAGAGGGAGACCUUAUUCUUGGCAGUGAGCCCAGGACUGAAGUGGACCCAUGUGUGGCACCUGAUGACAUUUUUCCAUAGAAGACUUAAGAAAACCAUCCUGGAGUUAUUCCAUAGUUAGAUUCUCAUCUCCUGGUGACAUUUCAUCAUAAAAGUAUCUCAGAAUUGGGACCAGGCAUGGUCAGUGGCCCUCAAGAGGGUGAAGUUCGCUGGUAAUAGCUGCAUAUAAAUAGUCAAUUAUUAUAGAAGGGAUGGUUCAAAUGGAUUCUUCCCAGGGGGAAUAAGCUUUGAGAUGAGAAAAGAACAAUGCCUGGAUAUUCUUUGUGUAAGAAAUUGAGAAGUGGCUCUCAAAGCAAUAUCAAACUGGCCUCUAGAGACCUUACUGCUUGCUGUAAAUUGCCUAAAAUUUAGAAGGUUAAUGUCUGUGUCACAUUUUGGGUGCCCUCCUUCAUGUAAUGAAUAGUUAAUAGUUGUGUUAGUAAAGAAGGCAGGCAUGUUGUAAAUUGUGGGGAAAGUUAUACUAAUCUUCCCCCUUAUGUCAGGUUUGUAUUUAUUAAUUCAUUUACUAUGUGUGCAAAGCAUUUAUUAAGAUAAAAGUUAUGGAGGUUGUAUAUCUUUUACCAGUCCUAUGCAUUUAAGGGAAUCAUAUGAAUGUUAAUCAUCUAGAAAUGGAAAUAAAGCAACUGGUCCUAUAGAGCAGUAGUUCUUGAAAUUCAGAAUCACUUGGGGGUUUGUUCAGACACAGAUAGCUGGGACCUACAAACAGCAUUUCUAAUUCAUUAGGUUUGUGGUAGGGGCUGAAAUUUGAAAUUUUAAAAAGUUUCCAGGUGAUUCUGAUGCUGCAGGUCCUGGGAGUAUGCUUUGAGAACCAAGGCUAAGGGUUUUACACUUCAGCAUUGUGAGCUAUUGACCUUGAAGAAACUGCAACAAAGACAAAUAGUAAAUUCCCUCAUUCCUAACAAGAUCUUAUUUGAUAGGGGAAAAAGCUAUUUAGGUUAUUAAUGCAAGGUGGCAAAUUAUUAUGCAAACCAUGCUUAGAUAGGUCUUCAAAUUUUCAACUUGAAAGUUGGGACUUGAACCCUCCAUGUCGGCAAUAAUGAUGCUGUGAAAAACACAUGAUUGUGCUAAAUGCUUUCUACCCAAGUCAUUUGACAUUUCUUUAUCCACAAGUGGUAACUGUUAUAAAUAUAUAUACAUAUAUAU
ensembl:lncRNA